rnacentral:rRNA from 1 species
UACGGGGGGAGCAAGCGUUGUUCGGAUUUACUGGGCGUAAAGGGCGCGUAGGCGGUCGUGACAAGUCACUUGUGAAAUCUCCGGGCUUAACUCGGAAAGGUCAAGUGAUACUGUCGGACUAGAGUGCAGAAGGGGCAACUGGAAUUCUCGGUGUAGCGGUGAAAUGCGUAGAUAUCGAGAGGAACACCUGCGGCGAAGGCGGGUUGCUGGGCUGACACUGACGCUGAGGCGCGAAAGCCAGGAGAGCGAACGGG